rnacentral:tRNA from 1 species
GUAGAUAUAGCUCAAUAGGUGGAGCAACUAUUUGUGGCAUAGUCGGUUCUCGGUUCGAUUCCGAGUAUUUACC